CAGUAGCCGCGGGAAUACGAAGGGGGCUAGCGUUGUUCGGAUUUACUGGGCGUAAAGCGCACGUAGGCGGAUCCUUAAGUCAGAGGUGAAAUCCCAAGGCUCAACCUUGGAACUGCCUUUGAUACUGGGGAUCUCGAGUUCGGGAGAGGUGAGUGGAACUGCGAGUGUAGAGGUGAAAUUCGUAGAUAUUCGCAAGAACACCAGUGGCGAAGGCGGCUCACUGGCCCGAUACUGACGCUGAGGUGCGAAAGCGUGGGGAGCAAACAGGAUUAGAUACCCGCGUAGUCCCUGUCUCUUAUAC
rnacentral:rRNA from 1 species